CGCUGAACUUAAGCAUAUCAAUAAGCGGAGGAAAAGAAACCAACAGGGAUUGCCCUAGUAACGGCGAGUGAAGCGGCAACAGCUCAAAUUUGAAAUCUGGCACUUGUGCCCGAGUUGUAAUUUGUAGAGGAUGCUUUUGGCGACGCGCCUUCCGAGUUCCCUGGAACGGGACGCCAUAGAGGGUGAGAGCCCCGUCCGGUCGUGCGCCUAGCCUCUGUAAAGCUCCUUCGACGAGUCGAGUAGUUUGGGAAUGCUGCUCUAAAUGGGAGGUAUACGUCUUCUAAAGCUAAAUACCGGCCAGAGACCGAUAGCGCACAAGUAGAGUGAUCGAAAGAUGAAAAGCACUUUGAAAAGAGGGUUAAAUAGUACGUGAAAUUGCUGAAAGGGAAGCGCUUAUGACCAGACUUGGGCGCGGCGGAAUCAUCCGGCGUUCUCGCCGGUGCACUCCACCGCCCCAGGCCAGCAUCAGUUCGCGCCGGGGGACAAAGGCUUCGGGAAUGUGGCUCCCUCGGGAGUGUUAUAGCCCGUUGCGUAAUACCCUGGUGCGGACUGAGGUCCGCGCUC
rnacentral:sRNA from 1 species